rnacentral:rRNA from 1 species
AACGGAUUAUUCUUUAUAGCUUGCUAUAARGAAUAAUUAGUGGCAGACGGGUGAGUAAUGCAUAGGAAUCUACCUAGUAGUAUGGGAUAGCCACUAGAAAUGGUGGGUAAUACUGUAUAAUCCCUGCGGGGGAAAGAUUUAUCGCUAUUAGAUGAGCCUAUGUUAGAUUAGCUAGUUGGUAGGGUAAAGGCCUACCAAGGCGAUGAUCUAUAGCUGGUCUGAGAGGAUGAUCAGCCACACUGGAACUGAGAUACGGUCCAGACUCCUACGGGAGGCAGCAGUGGGGAAUAUUGGACAAUGGGCGCAAGCCUGAUCCAGCUAUGCCGCGUGAGUGAGGAAGGCCUUAGGGUUGUAAAACUCUUUCAGUAGGGAAGAUAAUGACGGUACCUACAGAAGAAGUCCCGGCAAACUCCGUGCCAGCAGCCGCGGUAAUACGGAGGGGGCAAGCGUUGUUCGGAAUUAUUGGGCGUAAAGGGCAUGUAGGCGGUUCGGUAAGUUAAAGGUGAAAUGCCAGGGCUUAACCCUGGAGCUGCUUUUAAUACUGCC